rnacentral:rRNA from 1 species
GUAGGUGGCAAGCGUUGUCCGGAAUUAUUGGGCGUAAAGCGCGCGCAGGCGGUCCUUUAAGUCUGAUGUGAAAGCCCACGGCUCAACCGUGGAGGGUCAUUGGAAACUGGGGGACUUGAGUACAGAAGAGGAAAGCGGAAUUCCAAGUGUAGCGGUGAAAUGCGUAGAGAUUUGGAGGAACACCAGUGCGAAGGCGGCUUUCUGGUCUGUAACUGACGCUGAGGCGCGAAAGCGUGGGGAGCAAACAGGAUUAGAUACCCUGGUAGUCCACGCCGUAAACGAUGAGUGCUAAGUGUUAGGGGGUUUCCCGCCCCCCUUAGUGCUGCAGCUAACGCAUUAAGCACUCCGCCUGGGGAGUACGGCCGCAAGGCUG